AAAGUAUGACUUUAGGGGGGGUUGCUAAGGUUGACUUUUGAUACGUUGGGAUUCUCCGAAAACUUCCUUCACGAAAGUUGUAGAGCGCGUCGAUACGAGUUCGUGGACAUGUGGAACGCGUCAAUCGGAGUUCGUAUGAGGAAGUUAUGGCUAUCGGAAGAAGUUUCCGUUUUAGUAUAAAUAUGGAAAAUCAGAAUUUUAUUUCAUUUUCCUCAUUUCCAUUUCCGGAAAUAAUUUUCCUCUCUCUCUUCUCUCUCGUCCGCGCCUUCAGAAACGAAAAUCUUCGACUGACCCGACCCGGACCCGGUCGAUCCGACCCGACUUUUCCGGCGAGCUCCGGCCAUCUCCGGCGACGAGACUUUCCAGAUCAGUUCGCCUCCUCCGUGCGCUCCUCCCUGUGGUGUUCUCUAGCGCCGAUUCUCGGUGGUGACGGCGAUAGAAGGCGGUGCAGAUUGGAGUUUUCGGACCCGACCGGAAAUCCCUAUUCCGACGUCGGAAAGGCUUCGAGUUUUCUUGGUUGAGCUCAGAGCAGCCUCGCCGAUCGAUCCUUGGUGUUUGUUUGGAUCGAUUCACGUGAAACUUCGAUCAACUCAGUUGGGUUUACUGUUCACGGCUUGUGAGGUGCUUCUAAAGGUGAAUUGGACGAGUUGUUGGUGAUAGUUUUGGUUCGGUUCUGUAUAGAAGACGCAGCGGGAGUUUCGAGGGGUUAAUCCUGCAGGGUAGGAUAAUCGGGGCUGAAGCCGAGGUAGCUUGUUGGCAACAGAACAGGUAGG